rnacentral:snRNA from 1 species
GACUUGGGUAUAGGGGCGA